rnacentral:rRNA from 1 species
CUUGGUAAGAAUAGCUGCGGGGGUACACCUGGUCCCAUUCCGAACCCAGAAGUUAAGCCCGUAAACGCUGAAAGUACUUGGAGGGAAGCCUCC